GAGGAGGGAUAAGGAGAUUUGAAGAAGUUGAACAGAGGUCGGUGUGGAUCUUGCUGUGCGAAAAUCCUCAAGGGCUGAAGACUGGUGCUUGUAACUCUGCAGCAGGAUCUGCAAACACGGAGUUUGGAAAUACCAAG